rnacentral:sRNA from 1 species
UGGACUCCCUCCAGCCAUUCACGCCUUC